ensembl:lncRNA
GUUUUUUCCCCCUGGAAUCCAUGAGUAUUAAGAAAUAAUUCGAAUGAUCAGAUAAAGACAAGUUCUUGGUAGAGAAUUGAUUUCACAAUCAAUAGUCAAUUUCACAAAAAUACUCCAUUAGAAACAAGAAAAGUGAACUUAAAAAAACCAUGGACUUAGAAAGUGUAUAAAGAGCAAUUCAACUAGUAGAAGAGGUAAAGAUAUGGGAAAUGAUUAAAGAUAGGAUAUGAGUCUAGCAACAGUGCAGGUUAGAUAGCUUGAAUUCUCUCAGUACCAAACAUCUAGUGCUGAGUAAAAGAAAAAAAAUCUUUUAAAAACAUAGCUUACCCUCAAGAUAAUAAGGGAAAUCACAAGUCCUUCAAUAUUGUGACUAUUCAAAAUGUACUAAAUGUUCUAGCUAGCGUAAUCAUAAAAGAAAAACAGAAAAAAGUUAUAAGUAUUGGGAAAGAAGAAACCCUACUUAUAUGCUUAUGGUAUGAUUAUUUAUACAGAAAAAUCCAAAAGACUAUAAAUUAUUAGAACUAAGAAUUUAGGAAGGUUGCUAGAUAUAAGAUCAAUAUACAAAAAAAUCAAUUACAUUCUCACAUACCAACAACAAAGACUUAAAAAAUACUAUUUUAAAAAAGACAAUUUAUAAAUACAACAAAAAAUAGUGUGUAGGGAUAAAUCUAAUAAAAUAUCAGCAAGGUUUUUAUGAAGAAAAUUAUGAAACUUUAUUGAAAUGUCUUAAAGAGGACCUAAAUACAUAGAGAGUUAUACUGUGUUCAUAAAAAUGUAAACUCAAUUCCCUAAAGAUAUAAAUACUCCUAAAAUUAACUAUAAAUGUAAUACAAUUCAAAUUCAACACAACUCAACAGGUGAGAGUAGUGGAAUAGAAUUGAAUUGCUAGUAUCUGAGGUGAAUCUGGAAUUUUUUGGGAAGCCUAGUAAAAAUUCUGAUAGAAAUUUAGAAAAAUUUAAUAGAUAGAAAAAAUUCUGAUAGAAAAAAAUUCCCUGAAAAUUCUGUUAUCCAAAGGAUGAAUUCUCAGAUAUAUAAUGCAAACAGAAAAGCUAUCUUAUUUACCAAGAACUGGAAUAUUUUUGUCAACAUUAGGAAAUUAAGAAUGUGAUUUCUUGGCAAAGGAAUUGCUGUCUCAGUUGCAAGAUGGCAUUUUUCAUUUAUGACUCAGAAGGGAAGUCUGGAACACUUGCCCAGUGCCUCAGAUAUAGACUCUAGGUUUCCAGUUCUAGAGAGGAGAAUGUUUUAGCAAGUGCACCUGCCACACAUGAGAGCAUCCAAAGCAUCCAGAGGGAUCUGAAUGACUAUACCUCACCCAAAGGCCACUCGUUAAACUGUAACAGACAUGCCACCUGUUCCUUCAGAGGCCAAUAAGUGAUCUUUGAACAGGACUGGAGUUAAAAAGUAAACCUAUGCUCCACGUUUUUGCAUCGUUAUAACUAAAAUACUUACAACAACUGACUUGAUAUAAGUGUGCAGUCAAUGUUUGCCUCUAAGAUUGGCUCAGUGCUUACAUUUUUAAAGGAAGAACACGUUUGUCAUGAAAUUUUUUCAAAUAGUCUGAUUGCUUUUGAAGCAGCUCUUAAAACUAUAACACUAUGUAAUCAGCCAAACUUUCUGUACUACAGUUACCUUUCCAACUCUAUAACCAUGAGUUUGUGGUAUUUUCAAGUGAAAGCAGGGUCAGUUCAAAACAACAAGACUAUAGAUGAUCUCUUUAAAAGUUAUAUUAUUACUUCUUCACUAAAAAUUAUGAAUUCUCAAGAAGAGAGCUAAAGAUAAAAUCCUUGGUCAGUAAGUUUUUUGUUUUUCUUAAAUAGGUAUGAAAGUAUCAUUUAGAAUAUGGAAAAAUCUCAGACUAGUGAUGUGACCGGCGUUUCCUUUCAACAUUUUCUUCUGCGCUUCUGGUUCACCCCCUCACCCAGCUUUUCCUCUUAUACAUCCUCUUCAUUGUUAGCAAAAGACUCAAGACGGAUGUGGUAGUUUUGCUCAUGGGCUUUGGAGACCUGUGACUUGUGUUAUGGUUUCAGCUCUGCCUUGUGAGUGUCAGUUCCCGUUUGUAAAGUGGUGAUGAUUAUUGAGGAUCUCUCCCUAGGUGACUGUGAGGAUUGAAGAACGGAGACACAAGUCCUGGAUGUGGAGCAGCCAUCUUUUGACCAUAAGGUAGAAGACCACACAAGUCCUGAUGACUUCUUUGAGCAACUACACUUCUACUGGACCGUACACCUCCUGACCUCGUGUCAUGUGAAGAAAAUCUCAAUCUGGUUAAGCUACUGAGUUGGGUUCAAGCAACUGAAUGCAAUCCCAAUAUAGUAUUAUAUACAUUUCUUGGAGAUUUGAAAUAAAUUUAACAUAUUAAAAAUU